rnacentral:rRNA from 1 species
AACGAACGCUGGCGGCAGGCUUAACACAUGCAAGUCGAACGAGAUCUUCGGAUCUAGUGGCAGACGGGUGAGGAACACGUGGGAACAUCCCUUUCAGUUCGGAAUAACGUCGGGAAACUAACGCUAAUACCGGAUACGUCCUUCGGGAGCAAGAUUUAUCGCUGAAAGAUUGGCCCGCGUCUGAUUAGCUAGUUGGUGAGGUAAUGGCUCACCAAGGCUACGAUCAGUAGCUGAUCUGAGAGGAUGAUCAGCCACAUUGGGACUGAGACACGGCCCAAACUCCUACGGGAGGCAGCAGUGGGGAAUAUUGGACAAUGGGCGCAAGCCUGAUCCAGCCAUGCCGCGUGAGUGAUGACGGCCUUCGGGUUGUAAAGCUCUUUUGUCCGGGAAGAUAAUGACUGUACCGGAAGAAUAAGCCCCGGCAAACUUCGUGCCAGCAGCCGCGGUAA